GCCGAACUGGCUCAGCUGGUAGAGCAACUGAUUCGUAAUCAGUAGGUCGGGGGUUCGAGUCCCCCGUUCGGCACCA
rnacentral:tRNA from 1 species